rnacentral:lncRNA from 1 species
CCCGCCCGGAGCUGAGGGAGGGAGGGAGGGAGGACCCGGCGCUCCCCGCCCGGCGCCACCCGGGGGGAGUUUCCCCUCAGCGCGGGCAGGUGGGGCCGCUCCGCCGCCCGCCCCGCCUCAGCCCCGCGGGGCAGCGCGGGCAGCUCACGGCUCGGCCUCUGCCCCUCGCCGGCAGCCGCCGCCAGCAGCAACAGGUCCGUGCCCGCUCCUCCCUCCGCCUGCCAGGCGAACAAAGGGGCCGAGCGCGGCCCCGCGCCCGCCCGGCCCCUCCGCCAGCCCGGCCCCUGCGCUUCAGCCAUUUGCCUCGCCUGGCACCGCGGCGCCGCUCGCCGCCGCCUCCCGCUCCGCCGCCUGGGCCGGGCGGCGCGGUCGCUGCGCUGCGGGAGCUGCCCCGGAGCGGCGCGGGGCUCGUCGGCCGAAAGGAUCAGGAACAAUUGAUUGGCAAUGCUGCACCCUUUUCUUCAUCCUAAAGUGCUCCUUGGAUACUAACUGGCAGUUUUGGCUUCAGAAGGAUUACAAGACUGGGGGGAAUGCAUGAGGAACACGGAUAUGAAGAGAACUUCCUGAAGGUCAUGCCAAUGAAAUUUGGCUAGUGGGGAAUCGCCUUCCAGAAUAGACUGCGGCCUCAGCCUUCCGCUGAAGCAGUUGCACAAGGUGAAUACAUUGUGAUAGUACUCCCAAGCAUCUGCCGUUAAAGGAGACUUUUGCUCAUCACCCAGCGCAGUGUAGGGACCAGUUGUCGUGAAAAGGAUUACAGUGCCUGCAGACUGCUUAAAAUUUCUGCAGAGCAACGGGAAAACCAGAACUGCUUUUCAGGCUGUUGAGGUGCUCAUCGGGGCGAUCCCACCGAAGGAGCUCAGGUUUUCGGGGGUGAGCUGACGCGGGAGGGGGCCGAGCCGCAGGGUGGAUCCCCGAGGAAAAGGAGAAGCGGCCGCUUAGCCCCGGAAACCAGCGGUGGCCCCGCCUGCGAGAGCGGGGGCCCCGAAUACUAAUGCUGGGAGGCGGGAGGUGUGGGGGGAGAGAAGCCGGGGAGGAGCGAGGAAGGCGCGGAUGCUGAGCGCUGUUGGGUCUGUCCCGCAGGUGAUGGCCGCGCUCCGCACGGACCAGGCGCGCCGCC